GAUGAACGCUGGCGGCGUGCCUAAUACAUGCAAGUCGAGCGAACGGACGAGAAGCUUGCUUCUCUGAUGUUAGCGGCGGACGGGUGAGUAACACGUGGAUAACCUACCUAUAAGACUGGGAUAACUACGGGAAACCGUAGCUAAUACCGGAUAAUAUUUUGAACCGCAUGGUUCAAAAGUGAAAGACGGUCUUGCUGUCACUUAUAGAUGGAUCCGCGCUGCAUUAGCUAGUUGGUAAGGUAACGGCUUACCAAGGCGACGAUGCAUAGCCGACCUGAGAGGAUGAUCGGCCACACUGGAACUGAGACACGGUCCAGACUCCUACGGGAGGCAGCAGUAGGGAAUCUUCCACAAUGGGCGAAAGCCUGACGGAGCAACGCCGCGUGAAUGAUGAAGGUCUUCGGAUCGUAAAACUCUGUUAUUAGGAAAGAACAUAUGUGUAAGUAACUGUGCACAUCUUGACGGUACCUAAUCAGAAAGCCACGGCUAACUACGUG
rnacentral:rRNA from 1 species